AAAAAAAAAAAAAAAAAAAAAAAGUCUUUGUCAUUGUUUCCUUGGUGGCAGUCUGCAACGCAGUUGUCAGACUUGUAUUUGGAGACCCACCACCUAGACACCUAGGAAUUUCCUCUAGGGUUAAAAUCUAUAAAAAUCCACCUUUGUCUGUAGUUUUGUUCAAGAACACCAAAUAACAUUUUGAUGUGUUUCAGGUAAAGAGGGAUGUCUGCACUUAACAAGAAUCUGAUGUUUUAUGGUCAGUAUUGAUCCAUCUUGGAAGAGCUUCAAGAAGAUAUCAUUAGAAUGACCAGAAUCCUCCCAGAUGUAUAAAACUAUUCAUCAAAAUAAAAUCAUUAAUGGAGGUGUUGGGACAUAACUGGCAGAAAUAAAUUAAGCCAGCUAUGUUUACAGUCAACAAAAUCAGUAUUUGUGAAUUCCAUGCAGGCAAAGAACUAAUCACAGUGGUUUUGAUGAUUUUCAUUCUCAAGUGGUGGUGUUGCCUGUUUGGCUUUUAAGGGGGAAAAUAGUUGAGCAAGUCCUUGACAGUGGGACAGCUAGCCAGAUGGGAGCCUGGGGGCCUAAGGAGUGAGACGCCCUUUGCGCGGGAGUGGACAUCUCACCAGUAAGUGGCAGGGGCAUCCUUGCAGACCUGGCUAAGACUCCAGGGAGAAGGCGUUGGUCAGCUCCCCUGAAAAGAAUAAGGAAGUUGCUCCUCCAGGAAAAUCCAGGGCCAGACCUAGAUGAGGAGGGACGAGGGAGGAAGUCCCGGAAGACCUCUCUGCUGUCAUUGACCCCAGUCCUUUGCGGCUCUAAGGUUGCCGCCAAUGGAAUCACCUCCUUAAAACGUCAGUUUCUAGAAGAGCCUCAUUUAAUGCAUGUUACCUGGGAAAGUCGGGUAGCACAUUAACUGUAAGCGCUGAUCCUGAGAGAUCUGGCAGGAAGAUGGGGGUGGAGAAGACUGCUUUGCUGACUCCUCCUUAGGUGAGACUCACCUGGAUGGGCCCCGAUGUAUUAAGCAGCCAGCAGCAGUCACAGCAUGCCGUGUGCCGAGGACAACAAGCAGGAUGCCAACGCUGAUCACUAGAGUGGGAUUCUCUGAAUGCAGCACCGUGGCCACAGACUUUACACAUUUAUCCUCUCUCUCCCCACGGAGGGUGGAAGGGUGAAUAUGUCACAGUAUUCCAAAUCAGUUACGUGGUCUGAAGGACGACAGCCAUCAAAGGCAUCUUGCUCCCGCCCCCUAGUGGAUAAACUAGCACAGACAAAUGCAAAAACAAAGAGGCAUCGCACCCAAGAAAAUGAAACCAAAACCAAAAAGGAAGGAAACCAGAAAGCCACAGAAUGGUACGUAGGCCACAAGCAUGACAAACUCAGUGUGAUUUCUUGUGUUCACCCUCUCACAGACAUCGCUUAUGCAGGUGUUUAGACCUAGAGGACCUCAUAAAAAUGAGUAAAGUUAGAAAUGGGGGGUGAUUUUUCAACCAUAUUGAUAUUCCACGAUUUCUUGUUUGCUGCAUUGACACCAUAGUUAAAGCAAGUUGCAAUUAUGUCUUGGGGACUUUUAUGACAUCACAGAGAACUUGAAAAGGGCAUGAUGGUUGUCAUGGUCCUUCAAACAGGAGAAGGCAGUGACAAGGAGAAAGGCAGUUGCUCUCAUAGAUCAGGGAGAAAGCCAGCUAAACUCCAGGCGAAAUAGAAAUUGCAAGUCUUCUCCUCCCCGCCAAAAAAAAAAAAUGAUUUUCAAAGCUGUAAUUGUAAAUAUACACUAAAAUACCUGGCAAAUGUUUUUUCCAUUCUUCGCAGCCAUUGUGAGUUGUUUCAGGUUGGUAUUUUGGUACCUUCAAAGUGGCUCAUAAUUCUCGCAUUGCUAGGCUUUUGCACCUUAACAGGAUGGGCAGGAAUAGAAGAACCUGAAAGAGGCUUGGUGGUCUCACAGCAGAGGAAAUUGAAGGCUGAAGUCACAAGUGUUGUGUUGACCUUUCCACAUAUGCAAUGGGUGACCACACAGAGGUGGGCCUCAUCUCCUGACACUCGGCCCAGUGUGCAGCCACCUCUGCAUGCUGCUGCCCCAUCUCACCUCACUGGCACCCUCUGCUAUCUGUCUACAGUAUGCAUUCAGCACUCCAUAAUGAGGGUCUAAGGCAUAAGUAAACCAUGCUAAUUAUUAAAAUCUAGGAUUUGGAGAAGAA